GGUAACAGGUCUUCGGAUGCUGACGAGUGGCGAACGGGUGAGUAAUACAUCGGAACGUGCCUAGUAGUGGGGGAUAACUACUCGAAAGAGUAGCUAAUACCGCAUGAGAUCUACGGAUGAAAGCAGGGGACCUUCGGGCCUUGUGCUACUAGAGCGGCUGAUGGCAGAUUAGGUAGUUGGUGGGGUAAAAGCUUACCAAGCCUGCGAUCUGUAGCUGGUCUGAGAGGACGACCAGCCACACUGGGACUGAGACACGGCCCAGACUCCUACGGGAGGCAGCAGUGGGGAAUUUUGGACAAUGGGCGAAAGCCUGAUCCAGCAAUGCCGCGUGCAGGAUGAAGGCCCUCGGGUUGUAAACUGCUUUUGUACGGAACGAAAAGCCUGGGGCUAAUAUCCCCGGGUCAUGACGGUACCGUAAGAAUAAGCACCGGCUAACUACGUGCCAGCAGCCGCGGUAAUACGUAGGGUGCAAGCGUUAAUCGGAAUUACUGGGCGUAAAGCGUGCGCAGGCGGUUUUGUAAGACAGUGGUGAAAUCCCCGGGCUCAACCUGGGAACUGCCAUUGUGACUGCAAGGCUAGAGUGCGGCAGAGGGGGAUGGAAUUCCGCGUGUAGCAGUGAAAUGCGUAGAUAUGCGGAGGAACACCGAUGGCGAAGGCAAUCCCCUGGGCCUGCACUGACGCUCAUGCACGAAAGCGUGGGGAGCAAACAGG
rnacentral:rRNA from 1 species